GAAGGGGCCCGAGCGUUGCGCGGAAUUAUUGGGCUUAAAGGGUGCGCAGGCGGGACCCGCAAGUGCCUUGUGAAAGCCCCCGGGCUCAACCGGGGAAUUGCUUGGUAGACUGCGGGUCUUGAGCUCGGCAGGGGCGGUCGGAACUCUAGGUGGAGCGGUGAAAUGCGUAGAUAUCUAGAGGAACGCCAAAGGUGAAGACAGACCGCUGGGCCGACGCUGACGCUCAGGCACGAAAGCGUGGGGAGCGAACGGGAUUAGAUACCCCGGUAGUCCACGCCCUAAACGAUGUGCACUAGAUCCCGGAGGUGCUGACACCAUCGGGGUCGAAGCUAAAGUGAUUAGUGCACCGCCUGGGGAGUACGGUCGCAAGGCUA
rnacentral:rRNA from 1 species